ACUUCAGGCAUGUGGGGCUCUCCAGGAGGGAGAAGAGGCACCUUCGCCGUGAGUUGAGGACUCCUAGAACCAACCUGAGACUCCGCGGCCAUAUACAUCUUACGACGUGUGUGUGUGUGUGGCGGCGGAUGGGAGGGGAGGAAUCCUGUAGAACCCAGAUCCCAUCAUUCCAGCAACUGCCAGAGCGUUCGAGAAUGUCACGCCUGUACCUGUCUUCUCUCAUCUUUUGUGCCAACUGUUUUAUCAAACUUCCACCCCACUUUAAGUCUUCCAGAGUAUGGCACAAAUAUACUGCCCAGGUUCUAAAACAUGUAUAAGAGUUGACAAAAUCAGCUGAGGUUGAGCAGAAAUUAUAUAGGAAAAAAUAGGAAAAAUGCAGAGACCAAUCUCAGCUGCAAGAAGGCUCAGCUAGACACUGCAAGCAGAAGUAUAACCCCUGAAGAUACAGGAAAAGACCUUAACUGAGGGAUGGUUUCCUGCUGUGUCCUCAGAACCCCAGGGCCUGGCUCACAGAGACAAGUAAGCAGUGGCUGAAGAUUGUUGCAUAUGUGAAGACCUAGAAUUUACCAAUGAAUGACAACUUGAAUGAGAAGCUUAGAAAAAGAGAAGAUGGCGGUCAGCAAGGGAAGAAGAAAAAUAAAGACAUGGGAAAAAAUGAGAGGAAUGAAUAUUGGCAGAGGACCAAAUGGCAUCAAACUCACAGCAGAUAGGUUAGAUUCAUCUAUUUCAAGAGGAAAUUAUUUCUAGCAUAAAGAAAAGACAAAUAUUUAAGGUGAUGAAUAUCUCAACUACACUAAUUUGAUCUUUGACUCAAAUUAUAUGAAUGUAUUAAAUUAUCACCUAUACCCUGAAACUAUGCACAUCUAUUAUGUAUCAAUAACUAAUUGUUUAAAAAAAUAGAAAUGCUAGAACUGAAAAACUCUAAAUAAAGAAAUUUAAAAAGAAAAUCAAGUUACUGAAGAGAUCCCUGGGCUGUGACGGAAACAAAUAAAAUGGCUUAUUUCUAAGGGCACUCAACUAUUGAGUAAGUCUGAGCUGAAAGGUAUAAAGUACAAUAUGGCAAAUAAUAAUAACCACAAAAAUAAGCUUCUUAGAUAACCUAUUGCUUUGUGGUUAUAAUAAUUAUACACUCCACUGGAUAGCAAGCAAUCUACUUAUCUACAUGUAUAAGUUUGACUUGAAGUUUCUCCUAUUUUUCAUCUACUGGAGUAACUCAAUUACUAGGGCAUCUAUAUUUGCAAAUCUGCAAAGUGAAUGUUGUCAUCCAAUAGCCUUGCCACAUGUAUCCUGAGUACUUUUUACAUUCUUUAGCUUCCUAGAUUCACUUCAGCCAUCCUAGAAAUUAUUGAGCUUCAAAUUAGAUUAAGUCUCCCUGAGAAGUGAAAUAAAUAUUGCAUGGAGAGGAGAGAAGAUUCAGAUGGGUGGGGAUGAAGAACCAGCCAUGUGAAGGGAGCACAUUUGCUAAUAAACCUCACAGAGGAUGACCUGAGUACACAA